AUUGAACGCUGGCGGCAGGCCUAACACAUGCAAGUCGAGCGGAUGAAGGGAGCUUGCUCUCUGAUUUAGCGGCGGACGGGUGAGUAAUGCCUAGGAAUCUGCCUGGUAGUGGGGGAUAACGUUCCGAAAGGAACGCUAAUACCGCAUACGUCCUACGGAAGAAAGCAGGGGACCUUCGGGCCUUGCGCUAUCAGAUGAGCCUAGGUCGGAUUAGCUAGUUGGUGAGGUAAUGGCUCACCAAGGCUACGAUCCGUAACUGGUCUGAGAGGAUGAUCAGUCACACUGGAACUGAGACACGGUCCAGACUCCUACGGGAGGCAGCAGUGGGGAAUAUUGGACAAUGGGCGAAAGCCUGAUCCAGCCAUGCCGCGUGUGUGAAGAAGGUCUUCGGAUUGUAAAGCACUUUAAGUUGGGAGGAAGGGCAGUAAGUUAAUACCUUGCUGUUUUGACGUUACCGACAGAAUAAGCACCGGCUAACUUCGUGCCAGCCGCCGCCGUAAUAC
rnacentral:rRNA from 1 species